rnacentral:rRNA from 1 species
GAGUUUGAUCAUGGCUCAGAUUGAACGCUGGCGGCAUGCCUAACACAUGCAAGUCGAACGGUAACAGGUCUUCGGAUGCUGACGAGUGGCGGACGGGUGAGUAAUGCGUAGGAAUCUGUCCUUUAGUGGGGGACAACCCAGGGGAACUUGGGCUAAUACCGCAUGAGCCCUGAGGGGGAAAGCGGGGGAUCUUCGGACCCCGCGCUAAGAGAGGAGCCUACGUCCGAUUAGCUAGUUGGCGGGGUAAAGGCCCACCAGGGCGACGAUCGGUAGCUGGUCUGAGAGGACGACCAGCCACACUGGGACUGAGACACGGCCCAGACUCCUACGGGAGGCAGCAGUGGGGAAUUUUUCGCAAUGGGGGCAACCCUGACGAAGCAAUGCCGCGUGGAUGAAGAAGGCCUUCGGGUUGUAAAGUCCUUUCGUGGAGGACGAAAAGGUGGGUUCUAAUGCAAUCUGCUAUUGACGUGAAUCCAAGAAGAAGCACCGGCUAACUCCGUGCCAGCAGCCGCGGUAAUACGGGGGGUGCGAGCGUUAAUCGGAAUCACUGGGCGUAAAGGGUGCGUAGGCGGUACGUUAGGUCUGUCGUGAAAUCCCCGGGCUCAACCUGGGAAUGGCGGUAGAAACCGGCGCACUAGAGUAUGGGAGAG